AGGACCAUAUUAUAGACACUGUCAAGGGUUGGAGGUGGCUGCAUCAUCAAUAGGUUACUCUUACCCCCAUGUAUGCUUCAUUAAGGCCCAUUAGAAACUGAAACACCUUAUUCUCAUCUUUUUCCUGUAUUAUACCAUCUUUGGCAGCACAAACACAUCUUUGCCCAUGAUUUGUACACAUUAUCUCAGAACCCACAUGCAAAACAGACAACACUUAGAACAAGGAUAGAGUUACCCUCCUUCUUCGCGACCGGAGAAGAGCGGCCUUCAAUCGCCAGAUAAAACCCUAGGUCCAAAACCCUAGGUCCAACCACCGGAAACCGUACU
rnacentral:lncRNA from 1 species